AUGUUGCUGGUGGCCUUGUCUCGCCGGAUGUGCUGCUCCCUGGUCUGCAUCGCCAUGCGGAGCGCGGGCUUGCCGCUGGAGUCGACGCUCACUCCGAUGAUGCGGCCGGGCAUCAACCGCUUGUACUCCUGGGAGGUGGCGAGGAACGCAGCGUGCGGGCCGCCGUACCCCAUGGGCACGCCGAACCGUUGCGCGGAGCCCACGGCGAUAUCGGCGCCAAUCUCGCCCGGCGGGCGCAGCGUGGUGAGCGCGAGCAGGUCAGUGGCCAUGACCACCUUGACGCCGUGCGCGUGCGCGUCCUUGACGAACUCGGCAUAG
rnacentral:rRNA from 1 species